UUGGUUUAAAUCAUUGUGUGACUACACUUUGAAAAUUAAACUCACACAAAGUGAUAGGACAUUGAUUUCAUCUAA
rnacentral:pre_miRNA from 1 species